GUGCCAGCCGCCGCGGUAAUACGGAGGAUCCGAGCGUUAUCCGGAUUCAUUGGGUUUAAAGGGUGCGUAGGCGGCACACUAAGUCAGCGGUGAAAGGCAGGCGCUCAACGUCUGGACUGCCGUUGAAACUGGUGAGCUAGAGUGCGGACAAGGAUGGCGGAAUGUGUCAUGUAGCGGUGAAAUGCAUAGAUAUGACACAGAACACCGAUUGCGAAGGCAGCUGUCCGGGCCGCUACUGACGCUGAGGCACGAAAGCGUGGGGAUCGAACAGGAUUAGAUACCCUGGUAGUCCACGCAGUAAACGAUGAUCACUUGCUGUGGGCGAUAGAAUGUCCGCGGCGGAGCGAAAGUUUUAAGUGAUCCACCUGGGGAGUACGUUCGCAAGAAUGAAACUCAAAGGAAUUGACGGGGGCCCGCACAAGCGGAGGAACAUGUGGUUUAAUUCGAUGAUACGCGAGGGACCUUACCCGGGCUCAAACGACGGAGGACAGGGGCAGAGAUGCCUUUUCCAGCAAUGGUCUCCGUCGAGGUGCUGCAUGGUUGUCGUCAGCUCGUGCCGUGAGGUGUCGGCUUAAGUGCCAUAACGAGCGCAACCCUUGCCGUCAGUUGCCAGCGGAUAAAGCCGGGAACUCUGACGGGACUGCCACCGCAAGGUGUGAGGAAGGCGGGGAUGACGUCAAAUCAGCACGGCCCUUACGUCCGGGGCCACACACGUGUUACAAUGGGGGGUACAGAGAGAAGCCAUCCUGCGAAGGAGCGCGGAUCCCGAAAGCCCUCCUCAGUUCGGACUGGAGUCUGCAACCCGACUCCACGAAGCUGGAUUCGCUAGUAAUCGCGCAUCAGCCACGGCGCGGUGAAUACGUUCCCGGGCCUUGUACACACCGCCCGU
rnacentral:rRNA from 1 species